rnacentral:rRNA from 1 species
CCUACGGGUGGCAGCAGUGAGGAAUAUUGGUCAAUGGGCGCGAGCCUGAACCAGCCAAGUAGCGUGAAGGAUGACUGCCCUACGGGUUGUAAACUUCUUCUGUAAAGGAAUAAAGUGAGGCACGUGUUCCUCUUUGUAUGUACUUUAUCAAUAAGGAUCGGCUAACUCCGUGCCAGCAGCCGCGGUAAUACGGAGGAUCCGAGCGUUAUCCGGAUUUAUUGGGUUUAACGGGAGCGUAGAUGGGUUGUUAAGUCAGUUGUGAAAGUUUGCGGCUCAACCGUAAAAUUGCAAUUGAUACUGGCAGCCUUGAGUGCAGUAGAGGUAAGCGGAAUUCGUGGUGUAGCGGUGAAAUGCUUAGAUAUCAGGAGGAACACCGAUUGCGAAGGCAGCCUACUGAACUGCAACUGACGUUGAUGCUCGAAAGUGUGGGUAUCAAACAGGAUUAGAUACCCCAGUAGUC